CACCGGCGGCUCGAGUGUUGGCCACUUUUAUUGGGUCUAAAGCGUCCGUAGCCGGCUUGGCAAGUCCCCUGGGAAAUCUGGCGGCUUAACCGUCAGGCGUCCAGAGGAUACUGCCAGGCUUGGGACCGGGAGAGGUGAGAGGUACCUCAGGGGUAGGGGUGAAAUCUUGUGAUCCCUGAGGACCACCAGUGGCGAAGGCGUCUCACUAGAACGGGUCCGACGGUCAGGGACGAAAGCUGGGGGCACGAACCGG
rnacentral:rRNA from 1 species